rnacentral:rRNA from 1 species
UACAGAGGGUGCGAGCGUUGUCCGGAAUCAUUGGGCGUAAAGAGCGUGUAGGCGGCUCGGUAAGUCCGCUGUAAAAGUCAAAGGCUCAACCUUUGAAUGUCAGUGGAUACUGCCGGGCUAGAGUCCGGAAGAGGCGAGUGGAACUCCUGGUGUAGCGGUGGAAUGCGCAGAUAUCAGGAAGAACACCAACGGCGAAGGCAGCUCGCUGGGACGGUACUGACGCUGAGACGCGAAAGCGUGGGUAGCAAACAGG